rnacentral:lncRNA from 1 species
CUUCACUGAGAUGGAAAUAAGAAAUUACAACUAGAGACCAUCAGAUCUGUAAGGCCUGGAGAGCCACGCAGAAGGAUGCAGACUGGUCAUCGGGCAGGAGUAUUGGUGCACAGAUGGCCAGUAUUGGAGGCUGAGACUUGAGAGAUGUCAAACAUCUGAGUGGGAUGGGAAAAAAUGAAGCUGAGAGUGUUGCAAUGAACUUCCCAAGGUCAUUCAUCUGAUUAUUUUAGAAACAUCCUAUUGAAGUCCAUAAAAAUCCUUUUGAAAUUUGCAUUGAGAUUGACUUGAUGUGUAUUGGGGACCGUGCUAGGCACCAGAGAAACAAUGAUGAGCAAGAUAGGCAUUAUCUGUACUGAAGAGAGCUUACAGGAAGCUUUCUAAAGUGUCGCCACCAGAGAUCUCUCAUCUGAACGCCUAAAAAAGGGUCACUUGUCCAACAGCCUCACCUCAUAGACCAUGGCUGAGAGUCAGAGAAGAAAUAUGGAUCUUUUCUGAACAGUCAGAAUGGACAUAAUGACGAGGCCUGUCAUUGAAAUCUGUGCUUUAUCCAGAGGAAUUACCCUUGAGGCUUCACAUAACAUCUACCUUCCUAUCCUUAUUUUUGUCCCCCGUAAUUGUCACAGUACCUGGCACAUAGUUGGUGCUCAAUAUAUGUGUUGCAUCAAAAACGCUUUUUGUGCAUAUUGAAAGAUUUCAAUCUGAAAUGGUGAAUGUGCUUAAUGUUUGGGCACUUAAAACCAUAAAUUUCGGUAAUCUGACAAGCCUGCUCAUGGUAGUAGCUGAUUCUCUUGCGAUUCCAGAAAAAUGAAGUGUUUUUGUAUUGACUAUUUCCAG